AAGGCUGCCGAUAAUCUUCAGGCUCUUUGAUAGGGCAAUGAUAUUGUCUCCGGUCUUUGACCACGGAUGUACUGGCAUUGCUCGUUGAGACAAUUGGAAGGUCGGGUCUGCCCGACCUUUUUUAUU
rnacentral:sRNA from 1 species